rnacentral:rRNA from 1 species
UACGUAGGGCGCAAGCGUUGUCCGGAAUUAUUGGGCGUAAAGAGCUCGUAGGCGGUUUGUCGCGUCUGCCGUGAAAGCCCGGGGCUUAACUCCGGGCCUGCAUUCGAUACGGGCAGACUAGAGUUCGGUAGGGGAGACUGGAAUUCCUGGUGUAGCGGUGAAAUGCGCAGAUAUCAGGAGGAACACCGGUGGCGAAGGCGGGUCUCUGGGCCGAUACUGACGCUGAGGAGCGAAAGCGUGGGGAGCAAACAGG